AUGAACGCUGGCGGCAGUCCUAACACAUGCAAGUCGAACGGGUAUCUUCGGAUACUAGUGGCGGACGGGUGAGUAACGCGUGGGAACGUACCUUUUGCUUCGGAAUAGCCUCGGGAAACUGGGAGUAAUACCGGAUGAGCCCUACGGGGGAAAGAUUUAUCGGCAAAAGAUCGGCCCGCGUUGGAUUAGGUAGUUGGUGGGGUAAUGGCCUACCAAGCCGACGAUCCAUAGCUGGUUUGAGAGGAUGAUCAGCCACACUGGGACUGAGACACGGCCCAGACUCCUACGGGAGGCAGCAGUGGGGAAUCUUAGACAAUGGGCGCAAGCCUGAUCUAGCCAUGCCGCGUGAUCGAUGAAGGCCUUAGGGUUGUAAAGAUCUUUCGUGGGGGAAGAUAAUGACGGUACCCCAAGAAGAAGCCCCGGCUAACUCCGU
rnacentral:rRNA from 1 species